rnacentral:rRNA from 1 species
AUGAGACCACAUCAGUUGGCAGGCAUGUAUUACCGCAGAAAAAUAAAGCCUUCCGACCCCAUCAAUAAUCUUUCACUUACUGCAAAUACGAUUCGCGGUUGGGGAUGUGGCAGUGUUACCGAGGAGUGGGACAACUUGUAUGCUCAGAAGGUCCAAUUGUUAACUUUCCUUUCUACUCUGCCCGAGCCCGCUCUGAGUUAUGGGCCGAGUGUUGAAACUAAUAUGGCCAAUUCUAUCGAGCAAAGAGAACAGAAAAAGAGUGACAUAAUAGUUCUUGAUUCGGAUGAUGAUGAUGAAAGCACAGGAGCACACAAGCAACUGACGCCUGAGAAAAAUAAACAGCUGAUACCAUCCGAACAGGCUGGUGCUCUCAUGAGAGUGGUAAUCGAAGGAAUUGAUGAAGUAAAUGAGACAAUGCAUGAUAGAGACCAAAACAGUCAAAUUGUUCCAUAUAGUCCAAGUGCAACUUUAAUGAAUCAGUAUCCUUCCGCCAGCUAUCAACCAUCAACAUUUCUGUUUGAGAGAGUUAUAUUGCAGAAAAGACCUCAGGAACGUAUCCAUGAUCUGGCUGUUGCUACCCAUAACGAGAAAAUAGCAGAAACACAAGUUUCCCCUCCACUUCCUCAGGAGAGAAAAAAAACCGAAAAGUUGAUCCAAGCUCCCAAGUAG